rnacentral:rRNA from 1 species
CCUACGGGCGGCAGCAGUGGGGGAUAUUGCACAAUGGGCGGAACCCUGAUGCAGCGACGCCGCGUGGGUGAAGGAGUGCUUCGGCAUGUAAAGCCCUGUCGGCAGGGAAGAAGCAAGACGGUACCUGACUAAGAAGCCUCGGCUAACCACGGGCCAGCAGCCGCGGCAAUACGGAGGGUGCGAGCGUUAACCGUAUGCACUGGGUGUAAAGGGAGCGUAGACGGCAAUGCAAGCCAGGGGUGAAAGCCCGGGGCUCAACCUCGGGACUGCCCUUGGAACUGUGCGGCUAGAGUGCGGGAGGGGAUGGCGGAAUUCCUGGUGUAGCGGUGAAAUGCGUAGAUAUCAGGAGGAACACCGGCGGCGAAGGCGACCAGCUGGAAUGCGACUGACGUUGAGGCUCGAAAGCGUGGGGAGCGAACAGGAUUAGAUACCCCUGUAGUC